rnacentral:rRNA from 1 species
CCAAUAGCGUAUAUUAAAGUUGUUGCAGUUAAAAAGCUCGUAGUUGAAUUUCGGGAUUCUACCGUUGGUCGGGCUAACAAGUCUGUACUGGUGUGUAGAAUUUCUACCUUCUGGGGAACUAUCAUGUUAUUAAUUUAGCGUGGUGGGAAACCAGGACCUUUACCUUGAAAAAAUUAGAGUGUUCAAAGCAGGCUUACGUCUGAAUACAUUAGCAUGGAAUAAUAGAAUAGGACGGUGGUCCUGUUUUGUUGGUUUCUGAAUCACCGUAAUGAUUAAUAGGGUUAGUUGGGGGCAUUAGUAUUCAAUUGUCAGAGGUGAAAUUCUUGGAUUUAUUGAAAACUAACUUCUGCGAAAGCAUUUGCCAAGGAUGUUUUCAUUAAUCAAGAACGAAAGUUAGGGGAUCGAAGACGAUCAGAUACCGUCGUAGUCUUAACCAUAAACUAUGCCGACUAGGGAUCGGACGAUGUUAAAUUUUAUUGACUCGUUCGGCGCCUUACG